UUAAUGUCAUUUAAAUUGUUUUAGGUUAUGAUGUUAUGUACAAAAAUUUUUUACUUAGCGACUUGGUGUGGUUUGGCAUCUACAGUGUGUUAUACCUAGUUAUUGUUGCAAACAAUUUCGAGCAUUGAGGGGUUCCACUAAAAAGGAUGCUCGUUAUCACAGUAAAUAGUAGCGCAAUACCUGCAUUACAGACUUCUCACCCCGUCUAGCUGUCGGAGCUUGUACUGGAUCAAGCGAAGUCAACAAGUCAUUGAUCAAUGUAAACCAUAUGUGAACAAACCAGGAGCCGCCCUUCUUAUACCUAUUAAGAUAAGCAUCAAAUGACCCUCACCUACACAAUCUACGGUGUAAGCAAUCAUGCCGAGAGCUGUAAGAACCUCUGACACAAAAUCAUUAUUGCCCGUUUGAUUAGCGAGAUUCUCGGGUGCUGAGAUGGGGAUUGAAGGAACUGGCAAAAGUCUACAUUAUUACUGUUAAGAUGGAAGGAGUGUGGCAGUGCUGGAGGCUGAACUACAAAACGGGAGUAGGAAACUGUGGCUUAUCCUAACCUUAGUCAUCUUCCCAUUUAACGCCUCUGCAAAACGACCAACUUCGGACUUCAGAAGAAUGACAGAUCACUGCGUAGGCAACGACGUGGAAUUGUAUUAGGUGUCGAUGCUAACGAUGUGUGGGGAAACACAACUACACUACACUUCUGCACAGCUUCCUUGCCUUGGGUCUCAUGCCGAGUACAAUUACUUAGUGGUCGCUCUCCUACUUUCCAUGGAAAUUUAAAAUACAGAUGCGUUAAAACAUAGACCCUUUUUCCAUAUUAUUAUCAGGGAAACUGCCUGUUACAUUUUUUACAAAUAUUUACAAAUAAAUUUUCUAUAAACAAC